rnacentral:rRNA from 1 species
UACGGGGGGGAGCAAGCGUUGUUCGGAUUUACUGGGCGUAAAGGGCGCGUAGGCGGCGCAACAAGUCACUUGUGAAAUCUCCGGGCUUAACCCGGAGCGGCCAAGUGAUACUGUCGUGCUAGAGUGCGGAAGGGGCUACUGGAAUUCUCGGUGUAGCGGUGAAAUGCGUAGAUAUCGAGAGGAACACCUGCGGCGAAGGCGGGUAGCUGGGCCGACACUGACGCUGAGGAGCGAAAGCGUGGGGAGCGAACAGG